AGACUUUCAAGGUGGCUUGUAACACAGUAUUUUAAAACUAACACUCGUUUGGGAAAGAGUGUGUGAAAACAGCCAAACAAAAACAAAAAAAAAAAAACAGGACCAGGAAAUGAAGAUAGUUAUCCCACGCGAAGCACCUAACACUGAUACUGUACAGGGUUAAAACAAAACAAAAAAACGCGCAGCCCGUUCCUCCAGGAUGAAUGGCUGGCCGACAGACAGAUGUGGAGGGACAGAGAGACAGAUGUGAACAGGUUGAGGCAAGAACAUUCCAGCCACCCACACGCGCGGGAUGGUGACUUAUAAUCUUCUGCUGAAUACCUCCAAUUCAGAGAGCUGAGAUGUUUGUUUGUCUGCUUUUCCUUUAUUUAGAUGCUGCCUUGGGUGGUUUUUGGGGGGAGGGGGACGGGGGUAGCGGUUGUCAGUGUUUUCACCUGAGAAUGCAGAGCUCACAGAAUCGGAAGGGACUCCAGGGUCAUCUAGUUCAAGCCCCUCAUGGGACAGAAAAGGAAACAUUGCUGGACCCUCCCCUCUUUUAUCGCUAUUUUCCCAAUACACCCCCCCUCAAAAUCAGCAGAAUGCACUUGCUGUUGGGAUCCAUGUUCCAUUCCUUUCUACCACCUGUUUUUUUGGGGGGGGGGGUUCUGUCUUGCAAAAUAAGUAACGCGCCCAAUUUCUUUGGAAAGGAGUUGCAGGGGACAUCCCCUUUCCCCCCACCCCCCAAAAUAAUAACUCUCCCCAGAAAUCCAGAGCCAGUCCCGCAAAACCUCUCUCCCCAGCGAGACUUUUCGUCUGAAUACUCACGUGCACGCGCGGCUCAGUCCAGGAGCAGGAAUGGAGAAGGAGAGACGGGGCUUCAGGCAACAAGUGAGCGAUGCUGGCGGCCACGAGCGACGGAGUCGGAGAGGAGAAGCGCAGGGGCUGCGGGCGCUCAGGCGGCGUCGAUCCCGACCACCAGGAUGUCCACGCGGGGCAGAGAGCGAGAGGUUGUGACCAUUUGUCCCUUCGGAGUAUUCCUUGCUCUCUCCAGCAAAGGCUUUUAG
rnacentral:lncRNA from 1 species